rnacentral:misc_RNA from 1 species
CUGACUUAUCCUACAAGCAUCUUUCUGCACCAGUAAUGGUACCACAAAAGGCACAUCUUCAUCAGAUUUUCGAUUUUAGCCUUUGGUUUUCUUUCCUGUUAGUUAGCUGCACACUCAUUGCUUCCUAGCAGCUUUAUUACUUCGCAAGUAAACACCUCAACGACUAUCUUGUCUUCUAAUACUACAAUACAAUUAUACUAUUUAUCAACCAUUAGAGUUCAGUAAACUUCUUCUUACGCCCUCGG